rnacentral:rRNA from 1 species
UACGGAGGAUGCGAGCGUUAUCCGGAUUUAUUGGGUUUAAAGGGUGCGUAGGCGGGAUGCCAAGUCAGCGGUAAAAAUGCGGUGCUCAACGCCGUCGAGCCGUUGAAACUGGCGUUCUUGAGUGGGCGAGAAGUAUGCGGAAUGCGUGGUGUAGCGGUGAAAUGCAUAGAUAUCAUGCAGAACUCCGAUUGCGAAGGCAGCAUACCGGCGCCCUACUGACGCUGAGGCACGAAAGCGUGGGUAUCGAACAGG